rnacentral:rRNA from 1 species
AUCGAACGCUGGCGGCAGGCCUAACACAUGCAAGUCGAACGGUAACAGGAAGAAGCUUGCUUCUUUGCUGACGAGUGGCGGACGAGCGGGUAAUGUCUGGGAAACUGCCUGAUGGAGGGGGAUAACUACUGGAAACGGUAGCUCAUACCGCAUAACGUCGCCAGACCAAAGAGGGGGACUUUCGGGCCUCUUGUCAUCGGAUGUGCCCAGAUGGGAUUAGCUAGUAGGUGGGGGUACGGCUCACCUAGGCGACGAUCCCUAGCUGGUCUGAGAGGGUGACCAGCCAGACUGGAACAGAGGCACGGUCCAGACACCUACAGUGGGCAGCAGUGGAGAAUAUUGCGCGAGGGGCUAGAGCCUAAUGCAGCCAAGCCGCGUAUAUGAAGAAGGACUUCGGGUUGGAGAGUAAUUAAGGCGGGGGGGAAGGGAGUAAAGUUAAUACCUUUGCUCAUUGACGUUACCCGCAGAAGAAGCACCGGCUAACUCCGUG